GAGAGAGAGAGAGAGAGAGAGAGAGAGAGAGAGAGAGAGAGAGAGAGAGGCAUUCUACUUGAAGACACGGAAGGAAGAGGAUGGAGGAGGGUUGGGAACGAGCCCCUCCAGUGGUGUGCUGUUAACUUCACGUCCUGGGUAUCCAUCCCCUUGAUAUGAGGGACGGAGGACGCGAAGACGUUCCACAGUCUGGAGACUCGCCCCCAAAAGGUGGGCCGGUGUUGGCUGGAGCGGGAACGCGGCACUCCCACCGAGUCACCACUGGAUGACACCGUUCUCGUGUCCCGCGAGGUGACUCUGGCGGACAGCCGUAGUCCCGCCAGGCGUGGCACACCCUGCACCUGUGCCUUGUGGAACACCACAAGGGCCGCCAGGUCCCUGCGGUGUUCUAUCGUGUCGACGGGAGCCUCAGGAUGGGCUGGGGGCACCUGCUGCUUCCACCAGUCGCAGCGCCCGUCGCUGGAUGCCGUGGAGCUUGCUGAUGUGUGUGGCAGCACAGGACAUCCAGGAGAGGGCGGAAUACUCUAAAUAAGGCCGUAUCUGGGCCUUGUAGAGCAAGAGCCUCCCUCUCAUGUCCAGCAAGUUGGCCACCCUCCUCUCUCUUUCUCUCUCUCAUUUUUAUAGUGAUAAUAAUACAAGUUACCUUUUUCAUUUUCUUUAUUUCACU